UGUGGAGUUUUAGAAUUCCUACGCUUUACCGUUGCAUAUGAAAUUAGGCAAAGCGUUUGGAUUCUGGAACCCUAUG
rnacentral:pre_miRNA from 12 species